AUUGACCUCGGAUCAGUAGGGAUACCCACUGAACUUAAU
rnacentral:rRNA from 1 species